rnacentral:rRNA from 1 species
AACGAACGCUGGCGGCAUGCCUAACACAUGCAAGUCGAACGAGACCUUCGGGUCUAGUGGCGCACGGGUGCGUAACGCGUGGGAACCUGCCCUUAGGUUCGGAAUAACUCCCCGAAAGGGGUGCUAAUACCGGAUAAUGUCUUCGGACUAAAGAUUUAUCGCCUUUGGAUGGGCCCGCGUUGGAUUAGCUAGUUGGUAGGGUAAAAGCCUACCAAGGCGACGAUCCAUAGCUGGUCUGAGAGGAUGAUCAGCCACACUGGGACUGAGACACGGCCCAGACUCCUACGGGAGGCAGCAGUGGGGAAUAUUGGACAAUGAGCGAAAGCCUGAUCAAGCAAUGCCGCGUGAGUGAUGAAGGCCUUAGGGUUGUAAAGCUCUUUUACCCGGGAUGAUAAUGACAGUACCGGGAGAAUAAGCUCCGGCUAACUCCGUG